rnacentral:rRNA from 1 species
AUGGCUGAUGCGCUCCGGUGGAGUUCUGCAGUCGCUCCGGUGGUCGCCGCCGUCUUGGAUCGUCCUGCAGCCGCUCCGGUGGUCGCCGCCGCCGGUGAAACAACGCAACGUCUCGAGACCACAUCCACGCGUGCAACCGCCCAUGCCCACGUGCCUAGGGUUGCACCGCUCGCGCCUGGCUCCACAAAAACGGCCGAUUUGAGUGUUCCUCUGGAUGCAGCCCAGAGGUGCUUUAAGUUUCGUGCGGGCCAACUUUUAGAUGCGACCCGAGCAACCAAACAGGCCAAAACUGCCCGCGCGGGCCUAAUGCAGUUUUUGUUCUGUGCUUCUCCAAAUUCUCUCCUGGCCAUCGUCUAUCUCUCCUACAUAGCUAGCCCGGUGCCAUCAUCUGGCUGCAUACUCUAUUAUUUGUAUUUGGUGCACUGGACCAAGAGCGCACAGAGGGAGCUCUUCUCCGCCACGCCUAGGACAGGAACAGGGAAAAUCCACCACGGUGCCACCAAUGAACAAGUAGUAGCUGCAGUUCUAUUGUUGUCAGUAGUAUGCACUGGUCCGAUGUCAGAACCCAUGAAGAUCCAUGACAGUCCAUCUGGAUGGAUUGAGUUUGAUUGCCCGAUGGUAAAGAAGAUGCAGGCUGAGAUAAAGCUUCUAUCAGUUAAUGUUGAAGAUAGGGACAUGACAAUCAAGGCUCUGAAAAAGAAGAUGAGAAAGACAGUAAGAGUCUGUAAUAAAAUUCUUGCACAACAAAGAUCGCUGUCGUUCAGUUGCCCAGAGCCCCAGACCUUUGUUUUCGUGGAUGACUCCGGCUACCUCCUGACGCUGGGGCUCGGGUCCGUCAGCCGCGCGGCGGCUGUAAAGUACGGCAGCGUGCUGCUCCCAGACAUCACGCGGCCCAACAUCGUGGAGGCGCUGCUCAUGGCGUCCCUGCCCAUGGCAGCCGCCGUCCUCAUCUUGCUCAAGCUCAGCUCCACUUCCACUUCCACACGGGACUAG